GGGAUUGGAGCAGGGUACACCUUUAGGCGAGGAUUCUCUGCAGCAGUAGGGCUCCAUGUUCAGGAGCUGGUCAAAGCUAACGUGGACUCCGAUCUUCUCCCGGUGGUUCCGUCCAGACCACCUGAGGAUCAGCCACAACACACGUUUGAGGUGGAGCCUGAGGACCUGAGGCAGUUUGUAGACCAUCAGCUGUUUCUGUGCUUCGGUCAGGAUGACUGUUUUGGAGCAUAUCCGUCGUCUGGCUGCUGCAAGAAGAAGUUCGUUUGUUGCGUGAUUUGUUCCAGAAGCGGCCGACUCUUCCGGUGACUGAUCCAACACGGGGAAAAAAAACCACACUGGAUUACCGUCCACACGCGACAGGUGUGGAUCCGCCCAUCGCUCCACCUGCUUCCUGAGUAAGCUAGAUGUGUUUGGAGUGGAAGAAAGGUGGGAUUUCACUGCCUGAUAUAAAUCUGAUCAUCCAAAUAGCUUUCAAAGAGAAAAGCUGCCUUCAGUCUGUUUCUGCAUGAGGCAACUGGUGACAAUUUAGUGAUUUGGAUGUCACCACCACAUAUACGAAUAAUGGACUUUGAGACAAAAAAACAAUCUAGUUCUGUAUGAUGACUGAAUGAAUAAUGAGGGGUAAAUAUACAGGGCCUUG